UAUGUGGAUUGAUUGAGAAAUUUGCAAAUUAGGUUCGUACCGAAGAAGAACUCUGAUGUUCUGGAUAUUCCUGACCUUGGAUCAGUCAGUAAUAAUGAGAAGGCAAAAGAUGUUCACAUGGAUAUUAUCUAUUUAUUUUGUGAUAAAUUUGGAUAUUGGGAGAAUAAUUGUAACAAUUAUCUUACAAGAUUGACGUGGGGUGUAAGUAUAGCAUCAAAAGGUGUGUAUAUGAUACAGACCUAUUUUUCAUUAAGUGGCUCAGAUUUUGAUACUUGGAUAUUGGAUAUCGCAUGU
rnacentral:lncRNA from 1 species